UUUCUAUGAUGAAUCAAACCAGCUCACUAAGACUGCCAAUGAAAACACACCAACACCUGAGGAGC
ensembl:snoRNA SNORD29 Small nucleolar RNA SNORD29